AGAGGGGUAGAGGAGUGGACAGACACUGGUAGCGGAGGGGGAGGCGUUUGGCUCGGUGAAGACGGGGAGUGAACGAGCAGAGAGGGUGAGAAACCAGCGGAUCUGGCCCUUUAAAUCACCAAUACGGCGCAUUCGGAGACAAAGCCAAUGUGAGCUCAGCCGCCGUCCAACUCCAGCUCUGUCAUUUUGACUUGGCAACCGUUCGCCCUGCCGUCCCUGCGUCACUCAGAUCGUCCUCUCCUAUUAGUGUUCAAAGAGAGUCCUGUCUGCGCACCACCAGUCAGUUUUCUCCUGUGUU